rnacentral:rRNA from 1 species
AGAUGGCGACCGGCGCACGGGUGAGUAACACGUAUCCAACCUGCCGAUAACUCGGGGAUAGCCUUUCGAAAGAAAGAUUAAUACCCGAUGGUAUAAUUAGACCGCAUGGUUUGAUUAUUAAAGAAUUUCGGUUAUCGAUGGGGAUGCGUUCCAUUAGGCAGUUGGUGAGGUAACGGCUCACCAAACCUUCGAUGGAUAGGGGUUCUGAGAGGAAGGUCCCCCACAUUGGAACUGAGACACGGUCCAA